rnacentral:lncRNA from 1 species
UACGUUCUCGAUAAGAGAAAAUAGUAAGGAGCUCUUGUGGUUGGGGUACCUCUUGAUUCCUCUUGGUUCCUAAAUAAUUAAUUAAGCUAUGAUGAUUCCUCAUGGUUCCUAAAUAAUUAAUUAACACUAUGGUGCCGUGGACAGGCUUGCGUCACCAGCCGGGCACUAGUACAGGGAAGAGCUUUAGCCUCAGGCGGUAAGGGCCUUUAGUCCCGGCUACGGAACCAGGGCUAAGGUUUCGCAACUAAAAAGUUCCACCUUUAGUCCCGGUUCCGCGUAGUCCCGGUCGGUAACAGCAACCGGGACUAAAAGGUGCGCCAGAGUGUGCCACCUGGCCACACCCUGACGCAACUUUUAGUCCCGGUUGUUGCUACCAACCGGGACUAAGAUUUUUUUCUUUUUUCCUUUUCUUUUCUUUUGGUUUUCCAUUUAGAGAUUACAAUUAUGUUAUUAUUAUUUUCGAAUGCGUAUUGUUUGCUGUUAGUUUAUGAAACGCGUAUCUAUAAUUUAUAUAAUUUAAAGCAUUACAUAUAAAUAUACUAUAAAACACUAUAUAUAUAUAUAUUAUAUGUAUCUAUAGGUCCAUAAUAUAAUAUUUACACAUAAUGCAUCACGAACAAAGUAUUUACAACACAAUUUAUCUCCGCCACUCAAGCAUCGUACAAAUGAUCAUCGUGAUUUGGUUUCAUCGGCUCCUCAGGGCUGAAGUAGCACUCGCCGCCGGGAUUCAGGACAUGGUCGUUAAGAAAUCCUGCGAUUGUCUCCUGAAUUCCUUUUAGGCGGACCGUAUCCAACACCUGCUCCUUCAACCACAUCUCCUUUAAUAGAUAUUAAAGAAAAAAGUUAGAGGUAUGAAUAGGAUUUAUUAAAUAGCAACAAAUAAAUGAAAUAACCUUAUUACAUAUACAUGUUACAUACUUUUAGGUGCUCAAUAUUAGUUCUUUUGGCAUAGACCGUCAUAAACUUGCACACAUAGUAGCCACACAAAUCGUUGCCCGGUGUCUGCCGUAGAACCCACUGAAGUAAGAUAGUCUUUGAAAGUGCUGCAUUCAACUCUGGACGGUGUUUCUGCACGAACCCAGUCCAAACCCUAGGAAUAAAGCGAUCAUUAUUAAUUAUGUAUUAUCGAGUUAAAAGAGCAUAUUUUAAUAUAUAGAGAUCGGAGUUACCCUUGGAUAAUAUCUAUCAUUUCUUGGUAAUCGUCCUGUGGUUUUCUCAACGAGUCAUAGAUUAUCAAUUGACAUUGCCAGAGAUCAAUUACAAUUAGUAUCCAAUGAAAGCUGCAUUUGUGUGCAUGUAGGCAAAAUUAGUAUAUAUCUUUAUACUGGUCUGAUUAAUUAGUUAAAUAGAAUGUACACACGAUAACGACACUUACUUAAAGUUGUAGGGAAAAAGUAUAUACCUUUUGUCUUUUUGGUGAUCAAGAACCUUCGUAGAUAUUUCUCUCCGUUUGAGUUCUCCAUAAGACAUACGGGGUCUUCUGGUCUUUGAAUACAACAUUUGGAUCCACAAAUCCAAUCUCCUUUUCAUUUCUAACUCUGAGGUCCCUCAUCAUGUUUCUGCAUAUGUAUACCGGGUUUCUGUAAUUAGUGUUAUAUAUACAUGAUAAGUUACAAUGACAUUAUUGAAAGAAAGAAUCACUCACAGACAUAAACAACUCAUUAGAGAUUUGUCAAGAGCGUCCAUGUGGCAUAGUUGGUGUAGCUCAUUAAAUUGAACAUAAAUAAUAUCAUCACCACGGAAGUAAUGAUAGUUUCU